UACGAAGGGGGCUAGCGUUGCUCGGAAUUACUGGGCGUAAAGCGCACGUAGGCGGAUUGUUAAGUCGGGGGUGAAAUCCUGGAGCUCAACUCCAGAACUGCCUUCGAUACUGGCGAUCUCGAGUUCGGGAGAGGUGAGUGGAACUGCGAGUGUAGAGGUGAAAUUCGUAGAUAUUCGCAAGAACACCAGUGGCGAAGGCGGCUCACUGGCCCGAUACUGACGCUGAGGUGCGAAAGCGUGGGAGCAACAGGGAUAAGAAAC
rnacentral:rRNA from 1 species